AUUGAACGCUGGCGGCAGGCUUAACACAUGCAAGUCGAGCGGAGAUGAGGUGCUUGCACCUUAUCUUAGCGGCGGACGGGUGAGUAAUGCUUAGGAAUCUGCCUAUUAGUGGGGGACAACAUUCCGAAAGGAAUGCUAAUACCGCAUACGUCCUACGGGAGAAAGCAGGGGAUCUUCGGACCUUGCGCUAAUAGAUGAGCCUAAGUCGGAUUAGCUAGUUGGUGGGGUAAAGGCCUACCAAGGCGACGAUCUGUAGCGGGUCUGAGAGGAUGAUACGCCACACUGGGACUGCGACACGGCCCAGACUCCUACGGGAGGCAGCAGUGGGGAAUAUUGGACAAUGGGGGGAACCCUGAUCCAGCCAUGCCGCGCGUGUGAAGAAGGCCUUAUGGUUGUAAAGCACUUUAAGCGAGGAGGAGGCUACUGAGACUAAUACUCUUGGAUAGUGGACGUUACUCGCAGAAUAAGCACCGGCUAACUCUGUGCCAGCAGCCGCAGUAAUAC
rnacentral:rRNA from 1 species